AAAAAUUUACCCCUUUUAUGCCAGACGCCUCAUCGCGGCGACUGCGGAAAGUCGAAAAAACAGAUUUCUCCUCUCGCGCGCGCGCUCCCGGCGGUUUGUAGAAUGAGGACUCGAAGUCUGUCCAAGGGACGGAAUGAAUUGCCUGGCACUCUUACUGACGAAUCUCGGGAGGCGGUUGGAAAACUUCUAAGACGAGCUAAUUCACGUGGUGCAGCAAAGACCAAAAAACAAGAUGGCUAUCUUCGUCAAUGUGAUUCUGUUGGCAUAUCUGAGAGUGGAUCAAGAGUUGGUGAAAAACUGGAUGUAGGUAAUACUGAAGGUUGUAGUAGAAAUGAAAUGGGAUGUGCUUCGUAUGAGAAGAAAUCUGAGGGGGAAAGUUUUCCGAAAACCUCUUCUGAGAAGGGAGAAGAAAUUGAUGAGCUUGAUUGGGAAGAUGGCUCAAUUCCUAUUUUGGAUUCAACGGAAAAUUAUUCAAAUGAUCGGAUAAAGGAGGUGACUAUUGAAUUUGAUGCAUCACCUGAUUCCACUAGACGGAAGCCCAUUCGUAGAGCUUCUGCUGAAGAUAAGGAACUGGCGGAGCUUGUGCAUAAAGUUCAUUUGCUAUGUUUACUAGCACGGGGAAGGUUAAUUGACAGAUCCUGUGAUGAUCCUCUUAUUCAGGCUUCCUUGCUUUCCCUUAUACCAGCACACUUGUUGAAUAUUUCGGAGGUCUCUAAACUUACCGUGAAGGCUUUGGCUCCUCUUGUCUGUUGGUUUCAUAGUAACUUCCGUAUUAGAAGCCUAACCAAUGCAGAGAGAUCAAUCCCUUCAGCUUUGGCUUAUGCUCUUGAGAGCCGUGAAGGGACCUCAGAAGAGGUUGCUGCGUUGUCUGUGGCUUUAUUCAGAGCUCUAAAUCUGACGACACGCUUUGUGUCCAUUCUGGAUGUAGCCUCAUUAAAGCCAGAUGCUGAUAAGUAUGAAACUUUAACUCAAGAUGCAAGCAGAGCUGUUAAGGGGAUAUUUAGCUCUUCAACACUGAUGGUGCAUAGACCAAAUCAGGUUUCAACUUCUCCAAAAAUGUCAGCAUGUGAUGACAAAGACAAAGUCUGUGAAAGGGGUGGAUGCAAAAGGAAGAAUAGUGAUUCAUCUGGCAAAAACAAUCAACCCAAUGAUUCUCCCCUUGCUGAUCAGUUGAAAGAGAGAAUAUUUGAUUCAUUAGCCUGUGAAGGUCAAAAUGAUAUCUCAGAAGAGUGUCUUGUCAAUAAGUUUGAGGGAUCAAAGGGGAAAGGGGAUCUUGAAUUUGAGAUGCAGUUGGAAAUGGCUCUUUCUGCCACAGCUAUUGGAACUCAUGAGAAUAGUGUUACCUCAGAUGUGAAAGAUUUGCACAGUGAUUCAUCUAAUUUCCUUUCUCCUCUGAAAAGAAUGAAAAGGAUUAAAAGUGAGGAGCCUUCCACUUCUUCUCAGGGAAUUUCGACUGCAAUUGGAUCAACAAGAGCUGGACCUCCUCUUUAUUGGGCAGAAGUCUACUGCAGCGGAGAGAACUUGACAGGAAAGUGGGUGCAUGUAGAUGCUGUUAAUGCAAUUCUUGACAGAGAGCAGAAUGUAGAAGCUGCUGCUGCUGCAUGUAAAACAUCUUUGAGAUAUGUGGUUGCUUUUGCUGGGCAUGGGGCUAAAGAUGUGACACGCAGGUACUGUAUGAAGUGGUAUAAGAUAUCAUCACAACGAAUAGAUUCCAAUUGGUGGGAUGCCGUGUUGGCACCACUGAAAGAGUUGGAGUCUGGAGCAACUGGAGGCCAGGUUAGCUUGCCCAGGGAGCCAGAUAUAGAAGUGUGUGAUGAGUCUGGUAAGAAAAUUGAUGCAGAAGCUUCUGUUGUAAACUCUAUUAUUGGUACUAGGAACUCUCUGGAGGAUAUGGAGUUGGAUACUAGGGCAUUAACUGAGCCCCUUCCAACUAAUCAACAGGCCUAUAGAAGCCAUCAAUUAUAUGCUAUUGAAAGAUGGCUCACCAAGUAUCAGAUACUUCAUCCAAAGGGUCCUGUACUGGGUUUUUGUUCAGGCCAUCCAGUUUACCCUCGUACGUGUGUCCAAACAUUGAAGACAAAAGAAAGAUGGCUGCGUGAUGGACUUCAGGUUAAAGCUAACGAGCUUCCAGCAAAGGUGUUGAAGCGGCCUCUUAAACUCAACAAAGUAGAAGUUGAUCAAGUUGAUGAAUACAGUGAGGGUGAUGGUGGAGGCUCCAUUGCACUUUACGGGAAGUGGCAAAUGGAGCCUUUGUGCCUUCCUCAUGCUGUAAAUGGAGUUGUGCCAAAGAACGAGCGUGGCCAAGUGGAUGUUUGGUCUGAAAAGUGCCUUCCACCAGGAACUGUUCACUUGAGGUUGCCAAGGGUGGUUCCUGUUGCAAAGAGGCUUGAAAUUGAUUUCGCACCUGCUAUGGUUGGAUUUGAAUUUCGAAAUGGUCGGUCAAUUCCUGUGUUUGAGGGUAUUGUGGUGUGUGCUGAGUUCAAGGAUGCGAUUUUGGAGGCAUACAUGGAAGAGGAAGAGAGAAGAGAGGCUGAAGAGAAGAAAAGGAACGAAACACAAGCUAUUUCUAGGUGGUAUCAACUUCUUUCAUCCAUCGUAACCCGCCAAAGGUUGAACAACAGUUAUGGGAGCGGUUUAUUGUCACAAGCCACAGUUGACUACCAGAAAACAAAUAGCGAGUCUUGUGCACGGUUUGGUGGCAGUAGUGAUGACAGGGAAUCUCGCCAGCAAGGAUAUACAAUGGAAGGUAAGCUGCAAGCUCCGUUAACAAAACUCACAGAAGACCAAGAUCAUGAGCAUGUCUUUUUGACAGAGGAUCAGAGUUCAGAUGCGCAGAUCUUGGUACGAACAAAGCGUUGUCAUUGUGGAUUUUCUGUCCAAGUGGAGGAGUUGUAGCACUGCUUGUGUGGUAAUCUCCUUGUUGAAUUUUGACACCACGAUCCUUAAUGAAGGUGGUUGGAUUCUGGAGAAGUUCCUUCAUAUUUUGUCUGUAAUAUCGGGAAGAUGUUGUCGUGUAAUUUAGGUUAGUACUACUGCAAGUGGGUGGCAUCUAGGAGAAGUUGUGCAAUUUUUAAUGCUGCUGAAGUAUCACCCAACAGUCUCGUCUUGAAGCCACUCUGAGAACAACUGGUCCUAACGCCCCUUAACAAAUCAGUUCUCUCCUGUGCUACAGUGGAUGAAUAUCCUCCGUAACAACUCACCAAAAAAGAGAUGCAAGUAAAAGCUGGACUGAAGUUAAAGGUAUGUUCCAUGGGUUAGAAGUUGUAAAAAAAAAAUCUCAUUAGCGGGCUAGAGAGGUUUACAUGGUUCAAGAAGGAUUAGUAAACUUGCUAAUGGUAUGUUUGGUUCAUAUUGAACGACUAUAUUUUAAGUAUAUAAUAACUUACAAAAAAUUAGAAAAAGUAUUGUUGAUAUAAAACAGUUGAUCAUGUAAAAUUUUUCAUUUAAAAAUGCCCACAUUGGAUGAAGUAGCGUGGGCGAUUGCAUAUUUGCAUGAAUAAUUUUUUUUUUAAUGUAUUCUUUUAUUCUAAUAUGAUUUAUAUUUAUUCUCAUCA